AUUGAACGCUGGCGGCAUGCCUUACACAUGCAAGUCGAACGGCAGCACGGGGCAACCUGGUGGCGAGUGGCGAACGGGUGAGUAAUGCAUCGGAACGUGCCAUUGAGUGGGGGAUAACGUAGCGAAAGUUGCGCUAAUACCGCAUAUUCUGUGAGCAGGAAAGCAGGGGACCGCAAGGCCUUGCGCUCUUUGAGCGGCCGAUGUCAGAUUAGCUAGUUGGUGAGGUAACGGCUUACCAAGGCGACGAUCUGUAGCGGGUCUGAGAGGAUGAUCCGCCACACUGGAACUGAGACACGGUCCAGACUCCUACGGAGGCAGCAGUGGGGAAUUUUGGACAAUGGGCGCAAGCCUGAUCCAGCCAUGCCGCGUGAGUGAAGAAGGCCUUCGGUUGUAAAGCUCUUUCGGCCGGGAGAAAUCGCAUGGGUUAAUACCCUGUGUGGAUGACGGUACCGGAAGUAAGAAGCACCGGCUAACUACGUGACCG
rnacentral:rRNA from 1 species